UCCCCGAUAGCUCAGUUGGUAGAGCAGCGGACUGUUAAUCCGCGUGUCGCUGGUUCGAGCCCAGCUCGGGGAGCCA
rnacentral:tRNA from 1 species